UCAGAGAUACGCCCAUGGUACCUGAAUUAGUCGAGGCAUUGAGCCAACAGAAAAAUAUCUAACAUCUGUUUCAUCGUCUUUUUCUUCUCUCUUGAAGGAAUGUGAAGCAUUCCUUUUUUUAGCCUCCCAGUAASUAUAUAUUCCAAGACUUUCAAUUAGAUUUACAAUUACUAUAUUUCCUUUCCUUAGGACUCUCAUUGUCCCAAACAAGUACAGUAAACUGUUGCCAUUGGCAUUCUUUACUCUGUUGGUAGAAUGUAAUGAACAUUUGAUUCUAAAGGUAACAUCAGUUAGAGAGUUUACAAGUGUGACUUUAAGAAACUACCAAGAAUUAUCCAAGUUGCGGGAAUCCUGUGUUGGUAAUCRGACUUUCAGUUCCUGCGAAAARCCCUUCAAACUAGAUUUUUCCAGAAAGGUGAAGGACUUCAUGGACAAGUAUGUUGGUCAUGUGUAGUCUUUCCGAUCAGUGACACCAAGACUUGAGUUGCACUGCGCACACCAGAUAAAAAGCGCACAGUGUACGACUUGAAUACAUAAUGUGGAUCGUUCUCACAGGGCGUUUGCGGUAUGACAAUUUGGUAUGCUUUUACUUGCAGGAGAUUGCGCACAUAAARAGCAGUUCGAGAUUGACGACAUUCYGUAAGCCAAAGACAGCGCGCGAUAGCACYCCUCGGCCACGACACGGUCACGGUACGACUUGUAUGUACUUGAUGUGAUCUAGAUACAUCGUGUGCAMUGUCCAUAGUUAUAUAUUGCCAAUGCGUGUGUUAGAUUUAUCUUGUACUGUACGUCGUACUUGUACUUUAUUAUUGGAUGAAAGGAGUAGUUUGGCUAGUUACAUUGUACGGUUAGUGUGUGUCGCGCGCUUGACCAUGCAAUACAUGGAUAAGCGCAAAAACAUUUUCUUAAAAACCAUACUAUAAUARAAAAUAAAAUACCGUAWUUACUCGUUURAACGCCUUUAGCGUUUAUUUAAAACUGGUCCUCGUUGACCCGGCGUUUAUUUGGCGAGUAAAUACGUUAAUACGCAUGUGAUAAUAACAAUGAUAUCGUAUUUAGUAGAGUCUUCGUACUAUCACUUUAAAUAAAGUUGUAUUUUUAUUGAGUAA